UGACCGUCUUAUUUAUACCUCAGUUUACGUAAAGGAAUAGCACAGAAUACUUCCUUGGUCACUUCCCUAGUUCCUUCCUGGUUACAAGCUGGUCUCCAGAAAGGCCUAGACUGAAACUAUCACACUAAAGAAAGCUUAGGUCUGUUCCUUGUAUCAAGGAUUUAGGCAGAUGGCUAAAACCUUCCAUUUUUUGGGUUGUCAUUGAAAAAGUAAGAUUUAGGUUUGACACUGUGCAGGCAGCCCAACCUACCCAUAGCUGGCAGAAUGGAGGAGGAACUGAAAGAGUAGGAGAGAGAGAGGAGGAAGAAGAGGGGAGGCUGGGGAACAGAGAGCACUCUUUGACUUCUGAGCUUUUCUCCUGCUGUUUUGCCUGACUGAACUCUCAUCCCAGAGAUACUGCCAAUGUCAUCUUGUUUCUGUGGUCUGUAGCAUGAGCCAGGCUCUACUAAAAUGUAGAAUGUACCCAGGAGGCCUUGUUUCAAUAGGUAAAUGUCUCACCUGAUGAUGAAAGAAGAGAUUCUUCUCCUCAGAUGACCCCUGCUAUGAAAUUUGAAGUGUUAUGUGACUUCUGAAAAUGUCUGAGCAGCAAAUGGUCAGGUAUAAAUGGCAAGAAGAUUUGAUAGUCAACAGUGGACUUUGUGGAACCAGUAUCUCUCUCUGCGCCAGAUGUACCAACAGAAGAAUGAACUGGGUUCUGCUGCCCCACCACUGAGAAGCUCGGGGUGAACAAGGACCAAUGGGAUGCCACUGGAUCCACGAGUAGUGACUAUCUUUUGCUUGUGCUAUCUCUCUCCUUUUCCCUUUCUCUCUUUCUCUCUUUCUCUUUUUCUCUCUUUCUUCUUCUCCCUUUCUCUUCCCUCUACACACUUAAUGUUACAAAAUAAAGUCAGUAUUGUUGAA